GGCCUUUUGAUUAUGAUUUAAGGUCUUGCCUGCCCAAUGAUGUAAAAAUUUAAUGGCCGCAGUAUUCUGACUGUGCAAAGGUAGCAUAAUCACUAGUUUUUUAAUUGAAAGCUUGUAUGAAAGGUUUGAUGAGAAAAAGACUGUCUCUAUUUAAAAUUUUAGAAAUUUAUUUUUAAGUUAAAAAGCUUAAAUUUUUAUUGAAGACGAGAAGACCCUAUAGAGUUUGAUUUAUAUAUUAAUAGAUAGAAUUUAGUAUUUAAAAUUUUAUUUUUAUAUGAAUUUAGUUGGGGCGAUUGAAAAAUUUAUAUAACUUUUUUUUUAUUUUUACAUUUAUUUAUGAGUAUUUGAUCCUUUAAUAGAUUAUAAGAUAAAAUUACCUUAGGGAUAACAGCGUAAUUUUUUUUAGAGUUCUUAUCGAAAAAAGGGAUUGCGACCUCGAUGUUGGAUUAAAAUUUAAUUUUUGGUGUAGAAGCUAAUAAAUUAGGUCUGUUCGACCUUUAAAUUUUUACAUGAUCUGAGUUUAAACCGGCGUGAG
rnacentral:rRNA from 1 species